rnacentral:rRNA from 1 species
GAUCAUUAGUGAAAUUUGGCUGUCUCUUUACCGAGAAGCUGUCUUCCACUCUUUACCCUGUGAACUGUCAUCUGCCCUGCUUGUUAAGGCAUGAUGUAAAACAACCUUUACCUUUUUUAACGCAAGUUGAUGAAUGUGAACUUUUAUAACAAAUAAAAACUUUCAACAACGGAUCUCUUGGCUCUCACAUCGAUGAAGAACGCAGCGAAAUGUGAUAAGUAAUGUGAAUUGCAGAAUUCAGUGAAUCAUCGAAUCUUUGAACGCACCUUGCGCUCCUUGGUAUUCCGAGGAGCAUGUCUGUUCGAGUGUUAUGAAAUCUUCAACCCAACCUUUUCCUUGUGAUCAGGAUUGGUGCUUGGUUCGUGGGUGUUGUGCCGGCCUUUACGCCUGGCUCGCCCGAAAUACAUUAGCAGUUUCGGCUUCAGAAACUUGGCUUGACUUGGCGUGAUAGAUAUUUCGCUGAGGACAACUCCUUGAGGGUUGGCCAGUUCUUUAGAAGAAGGCUUCCAAUGAACCCCAAUUUCUACAUUUUGACCUCGAAUCAGAUAGGACUACCCGCUGAACUUAAGCAUAUCANUAAGCGGAGGAAAAGAAACUAACANGGAUUCCCCUAGUAACGGCGAGUGAAGCGGGAAGAGCCCAAAUUUAUAAUCUGGCACCUUCGGUGSCCGAGUUGUAAUCUCGAGAAGUGUCUUCUGUGUKGGCUCGCAUGUAAGUCUGUUGGAAUACAGCGUCAUAGUGGUGAGAACCCCGUACGCAAUGCGAAUCCCAAUGCUCUGUGAUACACUUUCGAAGAGUCGAGUUGUUUGGGAAUGCAGCUCAAAAUGGGAGGUAAAUUCCUUCUAAAGCUAAAUAUUGGUGAGAGACCGAUAGCAAACAAGUACCGUGAGGGAAAGAUGAAAAGCACUUUGGAAAGAGAGUUAACAGUACGUGAAAUUGUUGAAAGGGAAACGCUUGAAGUCAGACUUGCUGUUCGGAUUUAUUCGUUCUGCAGGCCAGCAUCAGUUUCCGAGGGUAGAAAAGGGUGAGUUGAACGUGGCAGUUUCGGCUGUGUUAUAGCUUCUCACUGGACCUGCCUUUGGGGACUGAGGUACGCAGCACGCUUUUUGCGAGGUCCUCGGACCCUU